rfam:Lepisosteus oculatus linkage group LG4, whole genome shotgun sequence.
GCCAGCAGCCAUAUCACUCUGCAACUCACAACUGGCAACCUACUGAAACUAAGCAGGUGUGAGCCUGGUCAGUACCUGGAUGGGAGACCUCCUGGGAAAUACUAAGGUUGUUGCUGAAA